GCGCCGGUGGUGUAACGGCGUCGAGCAUUCCCGCCCGGUUAGAAGGUGUGGGUUCGAGUCCCGCCUGGCGCA
rnacentral:tRNA from 1 species